AGAUGUAACAACUAGAUGUAACAACCAACCAAGUAGAUGUAACAACUAGAUGUAACAGCCAACAAACUAGAUGUAACAAUUAGAUGUAACAACCAACCAAGUAGAUGUAACAACCAACCAAGUAGAUGUAACAACUAGAUGCAACAACCAACAAACUAGAUGUAACAACUAGAGAGAGGAAGAGGAGGGAGACACUGCCACCAGCCACAGGACACAGUAACAACUAGAUGUAACAACAUAAGACUAUAUGGAAGCUCUUUUUGAAAUACUAAAGAACUUUAAGAUGGAAUCUGGUCAGGUUUGGAUAAGCAAAUUGUGGUUUAGAUGGAAUGUAAAGCUACUCUGGCAUAAGAAAUGAUGAAAGGGGCAAUGUCAGUGAAGCCUGGAAAGAAUUGGAGGCCCUGAUGCAAAGUGAGGGAAGUAGAACAAGGAGAACUAUCUAUUCAACAACUAUGUAAAAAAAAAGGCACUUUAAAAGACCCCAGACUGAUCAAAGCAAGACCCAACCAUGAUGAAUCUUGUCAUCCAUGUCCUGAGAGAGGGCAGACUUCAGAUGAAGAAUAAAACAUAUUUUUCUUUUUUUGAAUGUUAAUUAGAAGUGUUUUCUUUUCUUUUUCUCCUAGGAUUGGGCAGUAUUGGGAAGGAACGAAAAUCAAAUUAUUUUGUUAACUAAAAACAAAGUGGCAGUGCUAGACAAGAUGACAAGAUGUUCUCCGAGGUCAAGGGGAGAAAGUUCAAGCUCUAAUUGAAUUGACAGCGUCUUUUGAAUAUAAGUCCAUGGGAUGAUAAAAGGAAAAGGAAAACAUGAGCACCGUUCCUGGCGUAUAAUUUCAAUAUACGUUUGUUAAGAUGAGAUCUUUUGUGGCACGCCUCGAAAAUAAAGCAUCACAGGUUUUAUGGUGAUUUCAACAUUUAUUCUACAAGUUAAUGAUAUGACUGCAUAAAGUCAGUUGACUCAGAAAUGACUUUUGCAUUAGCAAUCAGUGAUUUCCUCUAUGUUAAGAUAGCAGCAAUGUUACGUUUUUGCUAGGUCUUUAAAUUUCUGCCCCAUUAAGAUGUUAGCUUCCAACUCUUUUCUAAAAGAAAAUACUUCUUAUCUAAAGACACAAGGCUUGUUCCACCUGCGUUUGAGCCUUCAUUUCUUCUGACCCAUAUUUUGCAACAUUCUGUUAUAUUUUUCCCUUUGCCUUCACAUUGAAAUUAUUAAGCAUUAAGUAUGUAUUUUGAUUUGGGGAAUUUAAAAAAAAAUUUUGUAACUCAACAGCAGUUAGUGUUACUGCAGAGGACACAAUUGACCAAUUUUACCUUUUCCAGCAAAUGUUUUGCAAAAACUUUAAAAUGCCGUUGUUUAUUAGUAAUCUUACUGAUACAGCAACGGUUGACACAAAUUGCUGUCUGUUCUUGCAUAUUUAACAUCUUGUCGACACUUGUAAGGGACAAAAUUUCUCCAUUUUGUAACUGAGUAAAACUGUUGGGAUGUAAGUUUCUAGAGACUUACUGAAAGCAUCAUUAAGAUGACUUGAAUAACAAACCAGGAUGACAUCCUGUUUGUACAUAUUUUUUAUUAGAAAGCUUUUCAUUACAUAUUGUUUGAAGAUGAUUAUGAACAUUCAAGGUAGUAGCACCAGUUAUUGAAACUCCUGAGGAAUCAAAGCCGUUGCUUUUGUUCAGUCAUUUUUUAGUCAUUUCCUACUCUUCAUGAGGGUUUUCUUGGCCAAGUUACUGGAGUGCUUUACCAUUUCUUUCUCUGACUAAUUUGUAGCUGAAGAGACUGAAGUAAACAGAGUGAAAUGCCUUGCCCAAGGUCACAAAGCUGAUGAGUGUCUGAGACUGGAUUUCAACUCAGAUAUUCUCAUUUCCAGAUCAGAUACUCUAAGUUCAGAGCAUCCUAGCCUCAAUCAAUGUUAUGUCCAAGUAAUGUAGGAUUACACUUUUGUCAGUAACAAUAUAUUGUUUUUAGCAAAACAUUUUUAUUAGGAUUUUUAAAAAUAGUUUUUCAAAUU